rnacentral:rRNA from 1 species
GAUGAACGCUAGCGGCAGGCUUAAUACAUGCAAGUCAAGGGGUCAGUAAUGGCACCGGCGGACGGGUGAGUAACGCGUACACAACGUACCUUUAACUGGGGGAUAGCAUUUGGAAACGAGUGGUAAUACCGCAUGUGGUUGUAGGGAGGCAUCUUUUGCAACUAAAACUCAGGUGGUUAAAGAUCGGUGUGCGUCCGAUUAGCUUGUUGGUGAGGUAAUGGCUCACCAAGGCGACGAUCGGUAGGGGGCGUGAGAGCGUGAACCCCCACACGGGUACUGAGACACGGACCCGACUCCUACGGGAGGCAGCAGUAAGGAAUAUUGGUCAAUGGAGGCAACUCUGAACCAGCCAUGCCGCGUGAAGGAAGAAGGCGCUAUGCGUUGUAAACUUCUUUUGGGUGGGAAGAAAAUGGUCAAUUUAUUGACAACUGACGGUACCAUCAGAAUAAGCACCGGCUAACUCCGUG